rfam:Ovis aries breed Texel chromosome 14, whole genome shotgun sequence.
UUCCUGAUAGUCCAGUGACUAAGACUCUGUACUCCCAAUGCUGGGGGCCUGGGUUUGAUCCCUGGUCAGGGAA